rnacentral:rRNA from 1 species
AGUGAACGCUGGCGGUAGGCCUAACACAUGCAAGUCGAACGGCAGCACAGUAAGAGCUUGCUCUUAUGGGUGGCGAGUGGCGGACGGGUGAGGAAUACAUCGGAAUCUACUUUUUCGUGGGGGAUAACGUAGGGAAACUUACGCUAAUACCGCAUACGACCUACGGUGAAAGCAGGGGACCUUCGGGCCUUGCGCGAUUG